UUGUAAUCUAUAAUUUUUAAUAUAUGACUGGGCUAAGAAUACAUUAAUCGUUAUAAAAAUAUGAUACGUAUUUUAACCAAUGGUAUUUUGCUGGUACUGGUAAGUAGAGUAAUAUGUGAUGAUGAUGACGAUGACUAUUAUUUUGGAAGUUCCUCAGAUGAGAAUGGACUCGCUUAUCAGGAUACCUUGUAUGACUCAAGAGAUUAUCCACUUAAUUUGGAGGGAUCUUUAAGACAACGAUUGGCUUUGAAUGGCGCCAUUGCUGAACCAGGCAAGAGUUUUGUCUGUUCACCCAUUUCGGCGCUAAUGCCACUGGGAAAGCUAGCUUUAGGGGCAACAGGCACUUGUCAACGUCAGUUAGAGGAGGCUAUUGGCGUAAGAUCGAGG